UUCAUGAAGACGUGCUCAUGACCUACGCCA
rnacentral:piRNA from 1 species